GUACUCACACAUCUUGCUGGCCGAACGUCUUUCAUAGCUUCCGCAGCGCUGCACCUGAUGUAUGAAACGGAAUGUAUUAAUUAUGAUAGUAUAUCUUU
rnacentral:lncRNA from 1 species